UGAUUCCCGCGUGCUACGCGAUGCUAUUACCCGUCCAGGCGGUUUUAAGGUUCCGCAAGGUUGUUACUACUUGUGCGAUAGUGCCUAUGCGAAUAGCAAUGGUUUUCUAACGCCAUAUAAAGGUGUAAGGUACCACCUAAACGAAUGGGGUCAGGGCAAUGCAAUGCCCCAGGACCCUAAAGAGCUUUUCAAUAUGAGGCAUACUCGGGCAAGGAAUGUAAUUGAGCGAGCUUUUGCUGUUUUAAAAAUGCGGUGGGGAAUCCUUAGAAGUGCUUCGUAUUACCCAAUCAAGAUACAAAUACGUCUAAUCAUGGCAUGUUUCUUAUUGCACAAUUUUAUACGCCGAGAGAUGGCAACUGACCCUGUUGAGGCUGAACUAGACGAAGAAACUUGGGAAUACGCUGCAGAUGAAGAAAUUGCAGCACAAGAUUAUGUCGGAGGGGUUGAUCCCAGCGCUGAAUGGACCCAAAAACGCGAGGCCUUAGCUACUCACAUGUGGAACAACAGAUAGAAUUUUGUAAACAACGUUGUAUCUGUUAUGAACUUUAUUCUGUUUUGCUUGACUGUUUUUGUUGAUGUUUACAGAACAUAUGUAUGCACUAUUAUUCUGGUUGAAUGUUGUAUAGGGACCCCUCGUUUUUUUUCGCAUAUAAAUUUUAAUGUGAUUUGUCUCCA